rnacentral:tRNA from 1 species
UAUAUUUUAGUAUUUAUUGUACAUAAAUUUUUGAAAUUUAAAGAAAUGGUUAAAUUCCAUUAGAUGUAA